UGGGGAAUUUUGGACAAUGGGCGCAAGCCUGAUCCAGCAAUGCCGCGUGCAGGAUGAAGGCCUUCGGGUUGUAAACUGCUUUUGUACGGAACGAAACGGCUCUGUCUAAUACAUGGGGCUAAUGACGGUACCGUAAGAAUAAGCACCGGCUAACUACGUGCCAGCAGCCGCGGUAAUACGUAGGGUGCAAGCGUUAAUCGGAAUUACUGGGCGUAAAGCGUGCGCAGGCGGUUAUGCAAGACAGAUGUGAAAUCCCCGGGCUCAACCUGGGAACUGCAUUUGUGACUGCAUAGCUGGAGUGCGGCAGAGGGGGAUGGAAUACCGCGUGUAGCAGUGAAAUGCGUAGAUAUGCGGAGGAACACAGAUGGCGAAGGCAAUCCCCUGGGCCUGCACUGACGCUCAUGCACGAAAGCGUGGGGGGCAAACA
rnacentral:rRNA from 1 species